CACAGACGGAAACUUAAUCAGGUGAAGAAGAUCUCACCUCCCAAGUGUAUGAGACACAAAGAACCACUUAUCAUCAGAUCACAAAAGCUUAGAAGCUUCCACCACGAAGACGAAGAACCAAGUGAAGAGUCGACUCCUUCUGGAUGUUGUAAUCUGCAAGAGUCCGACCAUCCUCAAGCUGUUUCCCAGCGAAGAUGAGUCUCUGUUGGUCCGGAGGGAUCCCUUCCUUGUCCUGAAUCUUAGCCUUGACAUUAUCAAUUGUGUCUGAGCUCUCAACCUCCAAGGUAAUAGUCUUACCUGUCAAAGUCUUUACAAAGAUUUGCAUUCCACCACGCAGACGCAACACAAGGUGAAGGGUUGAUUCCUUCUGGAUAUUGUAAUCCGCAAGUGUCCGACCAUCCUCAAGCUGUUUCCCAGCGAAGAUGAGUCUCUGUUGGUCUGGUGGGAUCCCUUCCUUGUCUUGAAUCUUAGCCUUGACAUUAUCAAUUGUGUCUGAGCUCUCGACCUCAAGAGUAAUGGUUUUUCCGGUAAGUGUCUUCACAAAAAUCUGCAUACCACCACGGAGACGAAGCACAAGAUGGAGGGUAGACUCCUUUUGGAUGUUGUAAUCUGCAAGAGUCCGACCAUCUUCGAGCUGUUUCCCAGCAAAGAUGAGUCUCUGCUGGUCUGGUGGGAUCCCUUCCUUGUCUUGAAUCUUUGCCUUGACGUUAUCGAUUGUGUCUGAGCUCUCAACCUCCAAAGUGAUAGUCUUGCCAGUUAGGGUCUUCACAAAGAUCUGCAUACCACCUCUAAGACGAAGCACCAAAUGGAGGGUUGACUCUUUUUGGAUGUUGUAGUCAGCCAGUGUGCGACCAUCCUCUAGCUGCUUACCUGCAAAGAUAAGCCUCUGCUGGUCCGGUGGGAUUCCCUCUUUAUCCUGAAUCUUAGCUUUGACAUUGUCAAUGGUGUCUGAGCUCUCAACCUCUAGGGUGAUUGUUUUACCAGUGAGAGUCUUCACAAAGAUUUGCAUACCACCACGAAGACGAAGAACAAGGUGAAGUGUCGACUCCUUCUGGAUGUUGUAGUCAGCAAGAGUCCUUCCGUCCUCAAGCUGCUUACCAGCGAAAAUAAGCCUCUGCUGGUCCGGAGGGAUUCCUU
rnacentral:lncRNA from 1 species